GUGCAAAUUCAUCACUAACUCUGCAUGAUGUUGCAAUUAUGAGAGGAACCAGGUUUGCUAAAGUAGCUGCGGUGAUAGAAAUGAAUUAACUUCAGAUCCUACUGAGGUUACGUAUUUUAGUUUAGUACAGGG